rnacentral:lncRNA from 1 species
GUCAUGGUGCUGCAGUCUUCUUCUUAAGUGUGCUGCCGAUAGUUUUUCGCAAGAACUUGAUACACCAUUACUUGUAUGCCUUCAUGAGCUCUACUAGAACUAUUCUAGAAAUCUUUUUUCAAAGUAUCAAACCAUACUCUAAUCAGAUUUUAUGUUCAACACAUGAACAAUCUGAUUUUAGGACAAGUAUCUCAUACUUUUAUUUUUCUCUU